GCGUCGGUGGUGCACGGUGCACGCCUCCCAAAAAUGUUCGGGCAUCGAAGGUUGAAGGAAGAGAUCGGGGUUCGACUCCCCGCCGACGCA